GGCGAACGGGUGAGUAACACAUGGGUAAUCUGCCCUGCACUCUGGGAUAAGCCUGGGAAACUGGGUCUAAUACUGGAUACGACCUUUCUCCUUAUGGGGUUUGGUGGAAAGUUUUUCGGUGUAGGAUGAGCCCGCGGCCUAUCAGCUUGUUGGUGGGGUGAUGGCCUACCAAGGCGACGACGGGUAGCCGGCCUGAGAGGGUGUACGGCCACAUUGGGACUGAGAUACGGCCCAG
rnacentral:rRNA from 1 species